UUCCACUGGCUAAAUACCUUCCCUCUUUAUUAGAAUAUAGUACUUAAUGUAGUACAUAGACAUAGUCAUCUAUACAAUCAAAUCAAAUUAGUUUUAUCAUACUAAAGUUAAGGAAUUAUGAUCCAAUGAUAUGAAUUAAUAUAGGUGUCAGUACCAAUGUUUGCACUGUUACAGUACAUGUAACGUGACUGUAUGCAUUUUUGCUAAUUACCACUCAAUCCAAACCAUUUGGAAAUGUAUACUUUUAUUUUUGCACUGAGUUCAUACAUUGUCUUGAGAUACGUUUGAACGAAAAUCUCACUUACAAAUGUGUGCAUCCAAUGUGUAAGACAUAACUUACAUCUAAUAUUUUAAGUCCAUCUAUUUUCUUAUAGUUAAGACUGGCUAUAACAUAUUCUGUACAUAACUACAUUGUUCUAAAUGAUUACUGCAAGAAAGCAUCUGAAAACUGGCAGAGGCAUUAAUAUCUUGUAUUCCAAAUAAUGCCUAGGAAAAAAAACCUACCAACCCUGGCCUUUUUAGUCAGCCAAGGGCAAAGGGCAUACACAUCUUUCGCUCUAACAUCUACAUGUAGGUAAUGAAACUCAAAAUUGACUUCCUGUAUCUCACACUCAAUUUAAUGUUUUGAACAGUUGACAUAAGAAUAUGUAGUAUGCUUGUGCUUGCAUUUGCUCAAUGUAUUCUGUGAUACAAAAUCAUGUUGAAAAUAACAGAAUUUAGUUUUACACUGUUAAACCUGUAUUUGUUGGGUCACUUCUGCCGAGAUCUAAAAAAAAAAUAACCGUAACCGGCAGAGUGGUGUUCAUCAGCCAACCGGGUUGCACCACGUGACACAUUAGUUUGGUGAGCACUACCGGUUACAUCUGGUACUGAAUCAGUAGAAUCUGGUGUUGAAGGUAGGAUGGAGGGAUGUGCCAUGUAAAAUCUGUCUUAGUCUACAUCACAUCUGAUGUAGGGUCUGUAGAAUCUGGUGUUGAAGGUAGGAUGGAGGGAUGUGCCAUGUAAAAUCUGUCUUAGUCUACAUCACAUCUGAUGUAGGGUCUGUAGAAUCUGGUGUUGAAGGUGGGCAUGUCUCUCCAAUUGACUGUUCGGUCUGCAAAAAAUAACAGUUGCAUCAAAUCUAUUAUCAGAUUCAUAAAAAAAAUAAAUGUAAUAGAAUUAAAGCUAGAAAGAAAACAUUUUCAAUGGUUUCCUUCCAGCAAUUUGCCUUUAGUCAAACUAUUUGCACACAAUACUACACCUGCAGACUUGGCCCUGAGGCGUCAAAGAAGAACACACCAGCAAAAACAACAUAUUUCCAACAGGAAACAUAAAAACACCUAUAAAAAUGAAGCACUGCUUGCUAUCAGAUACUAAUGUCCUUGUAGACGUCUCAGUGUUGGCAAUCCUUGUACAGGGCUGACAUUAAUGCAUAAGAUCGUGUCACACAACAGAAAAUAUAAAAUAGCCAACUCUAUUUACAUGCCACAAAGACAGCUGCCUUCUUGACCCUGGCAAAGCUUCUAGCGAUUGGUCCAAUAUGACGGGGUAGAUUUUCAAGCAAAAAAAAAAUUCAUGACUCUCUUAGUAAUUCUCAGAUUUGGUGAUCUUCUGCUAAUCAACAAAUUUGGCUGGAGGUCAAAGUGCAACUCCCAUCCGGAAAUCACAGCGAGAUUUUGAGGUGUCCUCAAAGCGGGGUGUGGUGUCGUGGUGGUGUAAUGGUUGCGGUGUUUGGCCCAGAACCGUGCGCUAGACAUGAUGGAUAACAACCCACUACCACUACAGUCUCAAAAAGGCUAUGUGUUUACCUUUUUACAAAGGCUGGUAGGAUGUGUCAAUACCAAUUGGUAUAAAAAAUUGAC